rnacentral:rRNA from 1 species
CGGACGGGUGAGUAACGCGUGGAUAACCUGCCUUACACUGGGGGAUAACACUUAGAAAUAGGUGCUAAUACCGCAUAAGCGCACAGAGCCGCAUGGCUCAGUGUGAAAAACUUCGGUGGUGUAAGAUGGAUCCGCGUCUGAUUAGCUGGUUGGCGGGGUAGAAGCCCACCAAGGCGACGAUCAGUAGCCGGCCUGAGAGGGUGAACGGCCACAUUGGGACUGAGACACGGCCCAAACUCCUACGGAAGGCAGCAG